rnacentral:lncRNA from 1 species
GACAGUUGUACUUAGGAAGCGUUGAUCUGACCAAAACUGUUUCUAAUCUCCACAGUGAUAGGGCCUCUCGCCUAUGUGGACUCUGGUUUGGCUGCUCUUAGCACUCCUAAGGCCCUCAUCCUUGUGUUCCCGCCAGUGCUGGACAAGUUUGUAGCCCUGACAACAGGCCUACCACAGUCCUCAAAAGAGUGUUGAAUGCUCUUCAUAAGCAGAAGUGUUGCAGCAAGAGGUCGCCACUGAGAAGGGUACCACCUGUGCACAGAAGCCCAGCCCAGCGGUUUUUAACCGAACAGAUUGCAUCAUCACAUCAGUUACAUAUCCACUGCCCCUCUCUGCUUUAGACUGCUUUAGACUGAAGCUCCAGAGAAGAAACAAACAGAAAAGUGAUCCCAGCUUGGUAAGUGAUAGUCCCAACCUGAUCUUUUCUUAAAAUUGGAACCA